UUCUCAUCAGCUAAAACACCAUGGAAGGGUUUCUUCAAGCUGGUUCUUCAUAUUUUUACUGCAAAUCGAGAAACGAAGAAAACGGAUUUGGAUCGAGGAAAAACGAAAAUAGUUGAAUAGUCGAUCGUGUCCGCUGAUAUCUGAGUUAAAACCAAGUCUGCAGACUCGGGGAUCGUUAGCGAAGAUCAUCACUCUAUCUACUAUCUCGGUAUUAAAACGUUUAAAUUUUAACUUAUGGCAUGUAUAGGCUAAAUAAAAUUUUG